rnacentral:rRNA from 1 species
AUUGAACGCUGGUGGCAGGCCUAACACAUGCAAGUCGAGCGGAUGAAGGGAGCUUGCUCCUGGAUUCAGCGGCGGACGGGUGAGUAAUGCCUAGGAAUCUGCCUGGUAGUGGGGGAUAACGUCCGGAAACGGGCGCUAAUACCGCAUACGUCCUGAGGGAGAAAGUGGGGGAUCUUCGGACCUCACGCUAUCAGAUGAGCCUAGGUCGGAUUAGCUAGUUGGUGGGGUAAAGGCCUACCAAGGCGACGAUCCGUAACUGGUCUGAGAGGAUGAUCAGUCACACUGGAACUGAGACACGGUCCAGACUCCUACGGGAGGCAGCAGUGGGGAAUAUUGGACAAUGGGCGAAAGCCUGAUCCAGCCAUGCCGCGUGUGUGAAGAAGGUCCUCGGAUUGUAAAGCACUUUAAGUUGGGAGGAAGGGCAGUAAGUUAAUACCUUGCUGUUUUGACGUUACCAACAGAAUAAGCACCGGCUAACUUCGUG